GCUUCAUCUGAAGUUUCUCCUCUUUGUUAGGCUUCUGCGACUUGAAUGUGAGAGAAACACUGCAAUUUGUGAUUUAAUCUCAAAUCCUCCCAUCACCUGAUCAAAAGGCUCUACCAUCAGGAUGAGGAGCUUUCAGAGAUAGUUUCUCAAAGAACUAGCCAGUUGUUUCAAAUAAAACAAAAGAAUCUGUCACUUAGUACAUGUUUCUGGUGUAACAGGAAACAUGAUGUGGUUAGGAGGGAGCUAGGCACUUUCGGUGGGAAAGUCCUGGCUGUCUCUCUCCUGUGCUCCUUGGGACCCGGAAAGGACAGGGAGGGCCUGAGAGCCGGGGGCAGCAGAAACAGAAGCGGAGAUGUAUCUGUUCACGUUUCUCAUCGCUGAGAAGCCCUUACUGAAGGAGCUGAGGGAGGGUGAGUUCUCAACAGAGAAGCUGUGUCAGAGAGAAACACUGAGAGCCUUCGUACCCAAGAAGCCUGAAGCCCACGCAGACAUGACAAGGAAAAAGAGCAACAACCAGAGGUGGGGGUUAGUGCCUGAGGUACUAGCGGCAACAGAUGGGACUGGUGAGGAAAAACAAGCAGCAACGACUAGUGAACUUGAAGGUGUAGAGGAGAAGGCGCAGUGGCACAGGAGGGCAGGACAGCUGUCUGGGGAACAACAGAACACUCUGAAGUGUGGAAUGAUCUGCUUCUCACCAUAACCGGGAAGCUUCCCAAACUCAGACCAAACCUGGCAAACAGUGCAAGUCAUUGAACAACAACAUGAUGACAAUCUUCAUCAAACAAGAAGUCAGACAUGCCCCAGAGUGUAACUGAUUUACAAAAUCUCUGCUGCAGAUUGUCAUGAGGAAUGGUAAUCCUUAUUACACCAUCUCCAGGCAUCUCCAACCAGUCACUGAGACUGACUAGAGUGCAAUCGAAUGGAAAGCACCACCUGCCAACCGUGUGGCCUCAAGAUCAUCAGAUGAACAAGGAGAAUCUACAUCAGGGGUCCUCAAACUUUUUAAACAGGGGGCCAGUUCACUGUCCCUCAGACCAUUGGAGGGCCGGACUAUAGUUUUUAAAAAAACUAUGAACAAAUUCCUAUGCACACUGCACAUAUCUUAUUUUGAAGUAAAAAAACAAAACAGGAACAAACACAAUAUUUGUAUUUGCAUGUGGCCCGUGGGCCAUAGUUUGAGGACCCCUGAUCUACAUGAUCAUGUGAUGAAACAUUAUUUUUCUUGACCUUGAUCAGGGCCUCAAUUUCUUCUUGUUUUCUUUUCUCUGUAUGUAUUAAUCAUACACUUAGAAAACCAAGUAAAAAAACAAAACAAAAACUCUACAGAUGAAGUGGCAAUCACUAGCACUGAGGGAAAAGAGGAAAGAUGUCCGAGAGGUUUAAGCAGUGACAGGUUUCAUGUAUAUCCCCAGGGGCAGGGGCAAGGACAGAAGUGAAUGGUACUAUGAGGAGCGCACCUACCCCAGCAGCCAUUCACUCACAGAUCAGAAGUAUUUCAAUAUUUUUUGCAACUGAAUAUCAGUACCAGGGGGUUCCAGGCUGCCCAUCAGGCCUGAGAGGAAGUAUUUUCUAUAUGGUUCUAAAAUGGAUCUAUUCACCAAUGAUGCAAGUACAUAUGGCAAGCUUGCUCCUAGAGAAUUUCUCCUAAAAUUACAUAUUUUUAUAUUUAAACUAUUACUGAUACUAUCUUUAUGUGUAAAAGAGUGUCCUUUUAAAAAUCAACCUUGCUAUGUAUGUUAAGAGGUUCAUUUCAAAGUGAAAUUUUUUAAAAAAAAUGCAUUAGACACCCUCAAUAAGCUAAUCCUUUCCCAUCUGGCUGAGAUUCCAGCGUGUUUGGCUUCAGCUUGCUCAGGGAAACAGAACAGGUUCCCAGAACAAUAUGUUGCUAGGAGACUGUCCAAGCUUAUUUAUCUUGUGCUGUGGGGUGAUAUUGAGCAUCCACCUGUGAUUGGCACGAAGUAAAAGCGGCGAAAGGGCAGAGGAGGAAGAGACACAAGAGUUGAUAGGAAACUUCUGUUAUUUAUGACACAGAGAAAAUGGACAGUUACAGUUUUCUAAAACUAUAUUCCACGAUAAAAUUAAUUUUAUUUUAGUGACUGUCAUACUGAGUUUGAAAAUUUUCUCAUUAGAGAAAGGAAUUUUAAAAAUGCCUUUAGUAUGUAGGCUUAAUUAAAGGAACACAAAGUCAUCCAGAAUUAUUACAAUUACCCCAAGAGCAGUGUAGGUAUCUCUCUCCUUAAUUUAAAUAAAUUUAAUGCAAGUGUGCACUUGAGGAGUAUGUUGAAUAAGAAACACCAGUUUUUUUAGAUGUCUACCUAAUCGGGGUCCUGUUCCACUAACCAUCCAUGCUCUGCCUGUCCAAUACCUCCAAUUUGGCUAAAUUCAGAAAAUGUCCUUAAAGAAUUCACAAUUGCUUGUAAGUGCAACUGAUAAUGAGAACUUACAACUUCAAAAUGGUUAUAUGUAGGAUUUGGAGGUUAAACAGGCUUGCACUGGAAACCCUGUUCUGUCAAAUAUUAGAUAUGUAAUUUUAUAAGCAAAUCAUUUAAACCUCCUACUGGAAACUUCAAUUCCUUUUUUAAAAAUGGAGGUAACACAAAUGACACCUACAAUGACCAUCUCCUUUUAGUGAGCACAUAAUGCACGCCCCAGCACUGAAAUAAGCACUUAAUCCACUUUAUGUUGCCUUAGCCUCACAAAGUUGAGCUUGGUUUACCAAACCCAUUCCACAACAUGAGCACUUUGAGAAAGGCCAAGUAACAUGCACAGGGACCACAGUAAUGACUAGCCCAACAGGCCUUUCUUAACUGCAAUGCUCCCUGCCUGUCACCCAGCCAGCACACAGAUUCAACCCUGGGGCCCUUGCUAAGCCUCAUCAGUAGCUGGCUGCAACCAAAGAACUAAUCAACAGCAAGAUGAUGGAGAUGUUAUUUUAACACCUGACUGGGAGAUAAUGCACGUAAGAUAAGUCAUAUUACCCAGCAUAAAGUAGGAGUUCAGAAAAAUAUAACACCCUCCCCCUGAACUUUCUGGGCAAGCUAGAAAAAAGGAGUACGUCACACAGACCCUGGGGUGGCUGCACCAGGAAUUUAACUCUGGGAGAAGCCUGCUUAAAAUUCCAUACAGUAUUAAGAGGGGGAAGAUUGAAAUGAUAUAUUUUCCCCCUCUUCCAGCCUUGUGAAAACAAGUAUUGAGGCUUAAAGCACCCAGGAGAUUUACAGCUUAAAGCAAAUCACCUUACAUUAUGGACUCAGUCCUGCUCAGAUGGAACUGUUUUUGAGGCCAAUGGCUUCACGGAGAAUGCCCUCUUCUCUAUUGUUUCCUACACUUCUUUAGGAUUUCUCUCUGUCCCCACUGCUUCAUGUUCUGUGUGUACAGAUAAUCUGGGUCCUCUCUUCCCCCACAUGCAACAGUUGUGGCUGGAUCACAAGCAUUCCUCCUAUUGGUUUUCAAAUCUGUUUUUCUCAGAUUCUUUGCACAAGACAGAGAAAGACAUUUUGUCUCUUCUUCUUAUAAGCAAGAAAAGUUCUUCUCAUUGGUUAUCUUCAAUUUUAGGUAGACUUACGGAAAUUUUUUCCCUUUGGGAAAAAUUCAGAAAACAAUCAUAUCUUAAGUUGGUAUGCUAUUACUUCUUUUAUUUUUGGGGGGAGGUGCUCAAAAUCCACUGUAAUAUCUCAAGUAAAAUUCCACUUCUCAAUGAGUCUUUGGUUAGAAAUGUACCACUUACAUUUUUAGUAUAGUGUUUGAAAAGUAGAAUGACUACUAAGUACUAAAAAAUAAGAUUGUAAGAUAGUAAAUAAUACACUAAAUCUGGUUACAUGUUGAAUAGCAUUGGUUUGAUUCCAGGGAGUAGAUUAACCAGAUGUAGUCCCAAAACUGGGCCAUGGAAAGCUGAUACAGCUAUACAUUCAGAGCGAGCUAAUCAAGCUUAUUUAAAACUAGACAAUGAGACAGGACAGAAAGAGGACAGGGGAGCCAAGUAGGACUCUGUUCUUUAUCACCAUCAAGUGCUCCGUUCAUUAUAGUGGUGCUGGCCUUUCCACACGGGAUGCUAAGAAACCUGAAGUAAUACUUUACGCUCGUUGCUGCUGGCAAUUAGAUCAAAAGCAAAUACAUAGCUCAUGCUCAUGGUAGGUAGAAGGCUACAGACAUUUAUGCUAUAGGAAAUUUCAUUCAAGACUAAUAUGCUGAAAAGUAGCUCUAUAAAACAAUCUGAGUCUUUAGAAUCAACUUUACUAGUACAGAAAUCUGAGAAGGAUAAAUGGUGGGAAAGAAAGAGGAGGAGAGCCCUUUACUGUGUUCUGUUCAUCUAUCUACCUUGAAGCAGUGGUUCUCAACCUUCCUAAUGCCGCGACCCUUUAAUACAGUUCCUCAUGUUGUGGUGACCCCCCAACCAUAAAAUUAUUUUCGUUGCUAUUUCAUAAGUGUAAUUUUGCUAGUGUUAUGAAUCAUAAUGUAAAUAUCUGAUAUGCAGGAUGCAUUUUCAU